CAGUCGCCGCGGUAAUACGUAGGUGGCAAGCGUUGUCCGGAAUUAUUGGGCGUAAAGGGCUCGCUGGCGGUUUCUUAAGUCUGAUGUGAAAGCCCCCGGCUCAACCGGGGAGGGUCAUUGGAAACUGGGAAACUUGAGUGCAGAAGAGGAGAGUGGAAUUCCACGUGUAGCGGUGAAAUGCGUAGAGAUGUGGAGGAACACCAGUGGCGAAGGCGACUCUCUGGUCUGUAACUGACGCUGAGGAGCGAAAGCGUGGGGAGCGAACAGGAUUAGAUACCCGCGUAGUCCCUGUCUCUUAUAC
rnacentral:rRNA from 1 species